rnacentral:rRNA from 1 species
UACGUAGGUGGCAAGCGUUGUCCGGAAUUAUUGGGCGUAAAGCGCGCGCAGGUGGUUCCUUAAGUCUGAUGUGAAAGCCCACGGCUCAACCGUGGAAGGUCAUUGGAAACUGAAAGGCUUGAGUACAGAAGAGGAAAGCGGAAUUCCACGUGUAGCGGUGAAAUGCGUAGAGAUGUGGAGGAACACCAGUGGCGAAGGCGGCUCACUGGCCCGGUACUGACGCUGAGGUGCGAAAGCGUGGGGAGCAAACAGG